rnacentral:miRNA from 1 species
AUUGUGUCAGCCUGUCGUUCU